rnacentral:rRNA from 1 species
AACGAACGCUGGCGGCAGGCUUAACACAUGCAAGUCGAACGGUUGUAGCAAUACAGCAGUGGCAGACGGGUGAGUAACACGUGGGAACCUUCCUAGGGGUACGGAACAACUCAGGGAAACUUGAGCUAAUACCGUAUACGUCCGUGAGGAGAAAGAUUUAUCGCCCUUAGACGGGCCCGCGUCGGAUUAGCUAGUUGGUGGGGUAACGGCCUACCAAGGCGACGAUCCGUAGCUGAUCUUAGAGGAUGAUCAGCCACACUGGGACUGAGACACGGUCCAGACACCUACGGGUGGCAGCAGUAGGGGAAUAUUGCGCAAUGGGCGAAAGCCUGACGCAGCGAUGCCGCGUGAGUGACGAAGGUCUUAGGAUUGUAAAGCUCUUUUCUGAGGGAAGAAUAGGUCUGGUAGGAAAUGACUGGAUUCUGACGGUACCUCAGGAAUAAGGAACGGCUAACUCCGUG